rnacentral:rRNA from 1 species
CCCUUAGAUGUUCUAGGCUGCACGCGUGUUACAAUCGGGCGUACAACAAGAUUGCAAAUCCUAGUGGAUGAGUGGUUCUUCGAAAUUUUCUGAAGACUGGGAUAGUUGAUUGAAAUUAUUCAACUCGAACGAGGAAUUCCUUGUAAUUGUAAUUCAUUAUAUUGUAAUGAAUACGUCCCUGCCCUUUGUACACACCGCCCGUCGCUCCUACCGAUUGAACGAUCCGGUGAAUUAUUUGGAGUAGCUCUGGAAGUUGCAGAACUUCCUAUGUCACGAAAUUUUGUAAACCUUAUCGUUUAGAGGAAGGAAAAGUCGUAACA